GGCUAUAGCUCAGUGGCAGAGUGCUUGCCUGGCAUGCAUGAGACCUUGGGUUCCAUCCCCAGCACCA
rnacentral:tRNA from 1 species